rnacentral:misc_RNA from 1 species
CACCCUUUUAGAACCCAGAAAUUAAAAACAUAAUAUCCCAACCACAAUCUCAUAUCACCAAUCCAGAAACCCACAAUCUCAUAUCACAAUAUGGGUUCGGACGCCAAAAACCAAUACCGCAAAAACUGUGCUCUGCCUUGCGCUGACCCUGCCCAUCGACUGGAAUACAAAUGCUAUCCGGAUGAACAAGAAAACCUCGCAUGAAAAUGAAAGAUAUUUGAGUCAAGCCCCAACUCAACCCCUGUAUAUGCCCUUGAAGUCCGGCCGGCGUACUCUUCCCCAUAAGCCUAAAGCACCAAAUGGCUAUUGUGCGAGAUAACAAUAGCUAUAACAGCAAGAGGAUGGGAUAAAUUGGAUAAUAACACCAAAGGUUCCGUUCCCUUUGAAACCAUUCUUGAAUCCUUCAAAAUCAUCGAAUAAUAGGAUUAGAAGCAAAGAAUCAAGAUCCCAGACUCCAUGAAGCUCGCGUACUGCGCGGUUGCUGUGGACUGCACGGUGAAGCACUUGGGUGUUGUGGGAAGCAAACGCAAGCGUGACCCUGAGAUGUUUUUCGAGGCAGUGAAGACGAUUUGGAGGGAAAGAGUUGACAAGUUGGAGUUUUUGAAGAAAAGCGAGUUGGUUACUGAUGAGUUGAGGGAGUUUAAGGAGGAGAUGGAGGCGGCUUUGUGGGAUUCGAAUGCGUGUGGGAGGUUGUUGGAGAGGGCUACGCGAAAUGAAGCGUUAAGACUGGUUAUGGAUUAUUUAAAGGAGGCUUUGGAUGAAAUGGGUCCUCCAUUUCUUGAAUUGCUUGCCAGAACUGAGAGGGAAAGGGAGGAGAAGCAAAUGGAAGAGAAGGAAAAGGAUGCUGAUAAAGUUGGGGUGAAAGCAAGCAGGGAACCAGAAGUAGGUGUUGCAGGUGGGUCUGCAAGGAAAGAAACUCAGAACAAUGAUAUGCUUCAUACUAGCAACAACCUUAAAGGAUCAGGUGGCAUUAUGGAUUCUGAAAAAGUAGUCAUGAACAUUCCUACUCCUGAAGUUAAAAUAGUGAAAGAAGCACUUAAAUCCAGCUCCAUGGAGUUAAAAGCUUUGUUGAAUGACCCUCUACCCAAUGCUUUACAUUUGUCUGAGGCUUUAAUGCCUGAAAGAAAAGCCUUGAAUAAGGAGAUUUUAGUAGAAAAUCAGGUUGGAAAGGGUGUAGAUGUGCCCAAUCCUUCCGUUAAUGUUGUAGUCUCCAUAGAAACACCCAAUACAUCAGUUACUCAAACUAUUGAAUCCAUUCAAACUAUGAAGAAUGGUGCUGGAAUUCAAAUUUGUAACAAUCAGAUUGUUGUUUCCAAACACAGCUUAAUGGAGAAGAAUAGUACUGCUCGUACCUAUGAGUGGGAUGAUUCAAUUGAUGGUUCACCUGAAGGUGCCAGUGGUAUGAACAGAUUUCAGUUAGCUAAGCCAAGGACAAAGGUUGUGUCUCCAUUGAAGGAGUAUAAAAUCCCUAAGUUUGCUGGAAGGAGAAAAGUCAAGAGGUGGAGCGUGGAAGAGGAAGAUGCAUUGAGGGAGGGUGUGCAAUUGUAUGCAAUUUUGUUAACAAGACAAAUUUUGUUUUUGAAAAUAUAGAAUUCAUGGUUUAGUUAACUUUCAUUUUCUGCUUUAUUAUCUUCUACUAUAAGAAAGACUUGGCUUUUACCUUUAUAGGUAUUGCUGCUUCAAUUGUGCAAGUAUAAAACCAGUAGUUUAAUUUUUUUAUAUUUUACUGUUUGUAUAAAUUUUUGGGUUCUUAUUCUUUUUCCCCUUCUUCAUUGGAAGGUUUGGUAGAGGAAACUGGAAGGCUAUCUUAGACUUUAAGCGUGACAUAUUUUAUGACAGAACUGAGGUAAAUAUGCUCAAUGUUGUGCACUAUUUUCUGUUUGGUUUCUAAAAUUUGUAUUCUUUGUAUUAGUGCUGCAUACUAGUUCUCUUUAAAAUACUUUUUCAGGUUGAUUUGAAGGACAAGUGGAGAAACAUGACAAAAUAGCAACCUGCAUAAACCUAUUUUGUUAAUUUUGAUGAAGGUAUAUGUAACCUUAUAUAAUCAAGUAGAGAAACACCAAUCAGAGUCUGCUGUCUUAUGACUUUUUUGGCUGAAGAUGUAUGUAACCCCUAAUCUGCACGUGACGUAGUUUUGCGCUGAAGAUGCAUAUAGAACUGCAUAACCUAGUUUUGUGUUGAAGAUGUAUAUAACCCUGCAAAACUGUUUUGUAGGUUGGUUGACCAUGGCAUAUUUUUGUCUGCUAGAUAUACUGUUUAUGGCAAGUCUCUCUGGGUUUUCAUUUGGAGUUCUUGUCUGACUUUUUCCCAUGAAUGAAGUAUUUGUAUUUAUCCCGACUACUUGGCCAGCUUAGACUGAUGUGAUAUACCAGAGAAAUUUUUAUAUUCUUUUUGCAACCUUCUCAUGAAUUCUGGGGAGUGAAAAAAAAGUGACUCUUUUGAUGGCUUUUGAUUAUAGUCUUUAAUUGUUCUUCUCCUUUCAAUUCUCUCUUUAAGUACUACAAAAUGAAUUUAAGCUAUUUGCUUUUAUGGCUGUUCAAUUAGGUAGGUCCAAUCUACUCAACUGCAACUUAUCCAACCUACCUGAAAGGUCAGUUUUCAGGUUAUUUCCAAAGAUGAUGAGGUUCUUUCUUUCGAAGUAUGCAGUCUAUUAUUGCUCGGACUCGUACUCUGCAUAUGUGUUUCCUUCUUCUUUUCAUGAUUUCAGUGUGGGUUUUUCUACCUUUUUGUGAUAUACUGGUGUUGAUGUAAAUGGUUUUUUAUUAGGGGAGGGUUGGAGGUCAGGUCUGUUAAAAAAUGUUUAUAAUCUCAUAUUAAAUUUUGUACUUUAGUUUUUUUUUACUUUGUAGCUGUUAAUGUGAAUGAGUGCCAUUUGUGGCCUGCAUGUCUUUGGAUUAUGAACUUAUUAUCCAUAAUUAUAUUUGGCAUGUUUGAGACUCCUGGUUGUAAGGCCUUAGGGUAAGCUAGUUUUUGUCCGGACAUUUGGUCCCAAUGUUUUGAGACAUGUAUGUUCUGGUUCCAGGGCCAAGGGGACGGUGACCGGACUAAAGGUCACCCGGUCCCGAUUUUGAUUCUAAUUUCUAUUUCUG